AGGACAAACGCUGGCGGAAUGUAUUAGGCAUGCAAGUCGCACGAGCCUUCGGGCUAGUGGCGGACGGGUGAGUAACACGUGGGUAACCUGCCUCGUAGUGGGGAAUAACUCGCCGAAAGGCGAGCUAAUACCGCAUAACACCCCCAGUGAGAAUCCGGGUGGUAGAAGCUCUGGCGCUACGAGAGGGGCCCGCGGCCGAUUAGCUUGUUGGUGGGGUAAUGGCCUACCAAGGCGACGAUCGGUAGCUGGUCUGAGAGGAUGGUCAGCCACACGGGGACUGAGAUACGGCCCCGACUCCUACGGGAGGCAGCAGCUAAGAAUCUUGCGCAAUGGGCGAAAGCCUGACGCAGCAAUUCCGGCGGUGGGGGACGAAGGCCCGUCGGGUACGUAACCCGUUUACGAGGAAGAGUUCGUGACGGUACUCGUGAAGUAAGACACGACUAACGUACGU
rnacentral:rRNA from 1 species